CCCUUAGACGUUCUGGGCCGCACGCGCGCUACACUGACCAGUGCAACAAGCAUCCGUCCUUGGCCGACAGGCCCGGGCAAUCUUUGAACGCUGGUCGUGAUGGGGAUAGACUUUUGCAAUUUUUGGACUUCAACGAGGAAUUCCUAGUAAACGCAAGUCAUCAACUUGCAUUGAUUACGUCCCUGCCCUUUGUACACACCGCCCGUCGCACCUACCGAUUGAAUGGUCCGGUGAAGCCUCCGGAUUGGCGCGCACCUCGGUGCCGCCGAGAAGUUGGCUAAACCUUACCAUUUAGAGGAAGGUGAAGUCGUAACA
rnacentral:rRNA from 1 species